AUUGACCGAUGAUUUGGAGUUUUCCUGUCGCCGAAAAUUACUCAAGGCACCCACGCUCUGCCCACAGCGGGUGGCGGCACAUGGACCACUUUGUGGAGGCCCAUGAGGUUCUAAAAUGUUCCCCUUGUCGUCCUGAGCAUGAAGGUAUGCUCGGAUUUGGAAUUGGUUUUAGUUUGACAGUCGAACGGAUAUUGCACCUAUUAUGUGAUAUCCGGGUUCGAUAAGUUCGGACCGUUCGAUCGGCCCCAAUUUCAAACAUGUUGUUCCUUGUACCUCUAGGAUUGUGUAAGAUCUUGCGGAUCGAGAAUCGAAGUCCCAGAUACUCCGAGUCAAUGAUUUCAAGGUUAGACGA
rnacentral:lncRNA from 1 species